GUAGUCUCGCACAGAUGCAUAUCAAUAAGCGGAGGAAAAGAAACUAACAAGGAUUCCCUUAGUAACGGCGAGUGAAGCGGGAAGAGCUCAAAUUUGAAAUCUUGAAAGGUCACCUUUCACGAAUUGUAGUUUAAAGAAGUGUUUUCUGUUACGAUCGUAAUAUAAGUUCUUUGGAAUAGGACAUCACAGAGGGUGAGAAUCCCGUCUAUGAUUGCGACUUGUAGCUUUGUGACUACACUUUCAAAGAGUCGGGUUGUUUGGGAAUGCAGCCCAAAACGGGAGGUAAAUUUCUUCUAAGGCUAAAUAUUGGCGAGAGACCGAUAGCGAACAAGUACCGUGAGGGAAAGAUGAAAAGAACUUUGAAAAGAGAGUUAAAUAGUACGUGAAAUUGUCAAAAGGGAAGCGUUUGACACCAGUGUUGUUUUCUCGAAAAUCAAUUAAAAAGAGUUUAGAUUUUGUUGUGUAUUGACCUUAACAGCUUGCAUUUCAAUUUUCUUGCUUUUUUUAAUGCACUUUUCGUUUAACAAGUCAGCAUCAGUUUCUUUUGUUGUAAAAAGGUCAUUGGAAGGUGGCUUUCUUUUCGGAGAAAGUGUUUAUAGCCUUUGACUCCUGCAAUCGGAGAGACUGAGGUCUGCAGCGUAGAUCCUUCGGGGUUAGAUACAUUUGUGCUAAGUUAUAGCUUUUUAUAGACAACUUGUUGACUAUGAUUAGUCUUGUAGCUUACUCGCUUAUGCUAUUUUACCUACGCUUAGGAUGUUGAAGAUGUAGCACAUCAU
rnacentral:rRNA from 1 species